GUCUGAUGAAGUAGUUAUGACAGUUUUAGAAGUAACUUAAGUUUCAGUAUCCCUUUCCAGCUGAGGUCUUGUGCGGAAAAACCAGCUGUUUCUAAAGUAUGAUUUUAAAAGAUUUUGUUUCCAAAGAGAACGUGGUUCCUAGUAAUGAGAAAAAUACAGAUAAUCCUCAAAUUCAUAACUUCUUGAGCCCAUCAGGGAACUGAAUUCCAGAGGGUGACAAAGCCCCUUUGAGGAAAGAUGGAUAAUCUGUUUCACCUUUGGCAGAACACAGGAGAGAGAGGUGAUCACCAUACAAACAGAUACAAGGCAGAGCUUGGCUGCCAAGAGAAGAAGAGGCAAGGACACUGGAAAAGCUUCACCCCUGAGACCCAGGAAUCCAGAACCUGCCUGAGGCUGUGAAGACAACAAAGAACCUGCCCUACUCCCAACAUAAGUUUACUGCUAAGGAAUGAAUAACAGGAGUUUGCUGGUGGGGAGAAGCAAGAAUAUUAAAAUAGACCUCAUCUGUGGCA